rnacentral:rRNA from 1 species
GAUGAACGCUGGCGGCGUGCCUAAUACAUGCAAGUCGAGCGAACAGACGAGGAGCUUGCUCCUCUGACGUUAGCGGCGGACGGGUGAGUAACACGUGGAUAACCUACCUAUAAGACUGGGAUAACUUCGGGAAACCGGAGCUAAUACCGGAUAACAUGUUGAACCGCAUGGUUCAACAGUGAAAGACGGUCUUGCUGUCACUUAUAGAUGGAUCCGCGCCGCAUUAGCUAGUUGGUAAGGUAACGGCUUACCAAGGCAACGAUGCGUAGCCGACCUGAGAGGGUGAUCGGCCACACUGGAACUGAGACACGGUCCAGACUCCUACGGGAGGCAGCAGUAGGGAAUCUUCCGCAAUGGGCGAAAGCCUGACGGAGCAACGCCGCGCGAGUGAUGAAGGUCUUCGGAUCGUAAAACUCUGUUAUUAGGGAAGAACAAAUGUGUAAGUAACUAUGCACGUCUUGACGGUACCUAAUCAGAAAGCCACGGCUAACUACGUG